rnacentral:rRNA from 1 species
GAUCAUGGCUCAGGAUGAACGCUGGCGGCGUGCUUAACACAUGCAAGUCGAACGAAGCACUCUAUUUGAUUUUCUUCGGAAAUGAAGAUUUUGUGACUGAGUGGCGGACGGGUGGAGUAACGCGUGGGUAACCUGCCUCAUACAGGGGGAGUAACAGUUGGAAACGACUGCUAAUACCGCAUAAGCGCACAGGAUCGCAUGAUCCGGUGUGAAAAACACCGGUGGUAUGAGAUGGACCCGG